GGACGUUGGAGUUGUGAGGCUGCCAAAGGGGUUUUGGUGGGGGACCGCCGACGGUAAGUGCUGAGGCGGUAACUCCGCUCCCCUCAGACUGAACUACCGAACAUACUUGAGUCCAACAUCUAUGUCAGCAGGUUAACAUCGUUCUGUUUGUAAUUUUACAUUUCUCCGCAAAAAAUUGAUCCCGAUUAUGAGCCUUAUAUCUCCCAUGCAGUUUCACAAUUCAGCUUAAGCGCGCAAUUAGCACAAAGUCGACUGUGACGUCGGCAGAUUUAACCAGUGAAUUAUCAAAAUUAUAAGCCUACCGCAGACUCAUACUUUUGAAACAGUGAAAGUAGAAACAAUUAUUGUAAAUUAAAUAAGGGGAAUACAGGCUUUCCAAACACACAGCGCACAAAAAAAAUAAGCCACCAUGCUGAGGCCCCACAAAAAAUGUCCUUGAGCCGCUUCAAAAGUCAAAAUACAGGGCCUAGAAAAAAGCCGCCAGGACUACAAAAUUAACCAAAUAUAAUUUUUAAAUGUCAAAAGUUCCUUACUACUUCUAUUAAUGUCUAUAUAAUCGUUUAUAAUUGUCGAUGUAGAAUAAAAACUAGCUAAAUAAAUGGGACCCUCUGAA